GCCCUACGGGACGCAGCAGUGGGGAAUAUUGCACAAUGGGGGAAACCCUGAUGCAGCAACGCCGCGUGAGUGAAGAAGUAUUUCGGUAUGUAAAGCUCUAUCAGCAGGGAAGAAAAUGACGGUACCUGAGUAAGAAGCCCCGGCUGACUACGCGCCAGCAGCCGCGGUAAUACGUAGGGGGCAAGCGUUAUCCGGAUUUACUGGGUGUAAAGGGAGCGUAGACGGCGAUGCAAGUCUGAAGUGAAAGCCCGGGGCUCAACCCC
rnacentral:rRNA from 1 species